rnacentral:ncRNA from 3 species
GACGGAGGGUGCAAGCGUUGUUCGGAUUGACUGGGCGUAAAGGGCGUGUAGGCGGUCGGCCAAGUCUGAUGUGAAAGCCCGAGGCUCAGCCUCGGAAGUGCGUCGGAAACUAGUCGGCUGGAGCGCGAUAGAGGAGGGUGGAAUUCCUGGUGUAGCGGUGAAAUGCGUAGAUAUCAGGAGGAACACCGGCGGCGAAGGCGGCCCUCUGGAUCGUUGCUGACGCUGAGACGCGAAAGCGUGGGGAGCAAACAGG